CAGCAGCCGCGGUAAUACGUAGGGGGCAAGCGUUGUCCGGAAUUAUUGGGCGUAAAGCGCGCGCAGGCGGUCAUUUAAGUCUGGUGUUUAAUCCCGGGGCUCAACCCCGGAUCGCACUGGAAACUGGGUGACUUGAGUGCAGAAGAGGAGAGUGGAAUUCCACGUGUAGCGGUGAAAUGCGUAGAUAUGUGGAGGAACACCAGUGGCGAAGGCGACUCUCUGGGCUGUAACUGACGCUGAGGCGCGAAAGCGUGGGGAGCAAACAGGAUUAGAUACCCCUGUAGUCCCUGUCUCUUAUACA
rnacentral:rRNA from 1 species